rnacentral:rRNA from 1 species
AUUGAACGCUGGCGGCGUGCUUAACACAUGCAAGUCGAUCGGUAACGCGGGGGCAACCCUGGCGACGAGAGGCGGACGGGUGAGGAACGCUUGGGAAUCUGCCCUUCAGCGGGGGACAACCCGGGGAAACUCGGGCUAAUACCGCAUACGCUCCACGGAGGAAAGCCGGGGACCGCAAGGCCUGGCACUGAAGGAUGAGCCCAAGUCGGAUUAGCUAGGUGGCGGGGUAACGGCCCACCAAGGCCACGAUCCGUAGCUGGUCUGAGAGGACGAUCAGCCACACUGGGACUGAGACGCGGCCCAGACUCCUACGGGAGGCAGCAGUGGGGAAUAUUGGACAAUGGGGGAAACCCUGAUCCAGCGACGCCGCGUGGGUGAAGAAGGCCUGCGGGUUGUAAAGCCCUUUCGGUAGGGACGAAAGCCUCCGACCUAACACGUCGGGGGGUUGACUUAACCUACAGAAGAAGCACCGGCUAACUCUGUGCCAGCCGCCGCUGUAAAAC